UGUAUGUUGUAGUUAUAAAUUCUGUACUUAUGUACAUAUGUAAUAAGUAGUCAACUAAAUUGGAGAUACUUACAGGGUAAGUUACAUAAUUUCAAAUUGCUCAAUUGUGCUUUAUUUUCGAAAUAGUUUACACAAUUAAUUUUAAACAGAUGUAUGAAUUUUUGUGUAAUUCUGCUUUUUAGAUAAGCAGAAAUAUUUACGUAAGUAUGUAUUUAUCCUGAAAAUCUGGAUGCCCUGGAAUAAUGAGUUCAUAUUAUCUAAUUUGAUGACAACGUAUUACUUAAUCACCGAUUUGUUCCAGCUUGAUUUAUUUAUAAUUGGCACGAAUGCAUAGUAAUUCUUGAUUUCGAUUUCCUGAUCUCUAAAUGUUUCACCUGGUAGAAAAAUAUAAAAGUUUUAUUACCAAUUAAAAACUAAUUAUGAAACGUGUAACAGCACUACUGAAUAUUUAAUGUGAAUACAUCGUUUAACAUAAUAAUCAGGGAAAUCCCACUUUCCUUGCGUUUACUAAAAACAGCUCUUACUCACAUCUUAAAUCUUGAAAAUAAGUCAUAAAAAUAAAUUGUAUAUGUAAAACACAGGAUGUAGAAUGAGAUGCAAAAAAUGGACACGGAUUUGUCAUUGCCGUGGAAGACCUUCUAAAUACAUUAUGCAGAUAUGCAACCCCUUCAACUUUAAUUUGUCCCAGGAAUUGUGUGAUGUUGAGAGAAUUGUUGAGAGAAUGACCUUGGUAUUCAAAAUAAUAUCGCUUGUAAUGCAAUGAAAUUUGUAGCUGUUUUUUAUUUAGGGGAACACUAAUAAUAAUUGAGAGAUGUUGCAUUUUACGAGAAUUUCAUUUGCGACAAAGUUCACUGUUAAAUACAUUCCCUGCAUUUCUACAUGAGUCUGUUUCCUAAUAGCGUGCAUCGCAAACCACGCUUCCCAUGUUGUUAGUGUUCAAUUACUAUAAAAUAACAAUAACGACAUGAUAGAAACAGGCUGGAGGUCUAUUUACUUAAAAUACAAUGCUUAUGGUUUAACAUUGUCCAUAAUACCACGAUGUCACUGUCAUUCUUUCGUAAACUCAUUGCAUUAGAAUGGGAGGACGGCAGGAGGGUUAUCUUUUGUUCCCGAUGGCUAAUCGCUGUCCAUGUCAUUCCACCAAUUUAUUUGCAUACUUUUCCAUUUGUCAUGUGGAUAGCAAUUUACCAAGUAGCGAGGGAAUCACAUUUUCAAUGACGGAUAUAGCUAUACCAGUUCGCAGUGGUGGAAUCAAUUUACAGCACGCCAACGACCAACACAAUCUUUCAAGAUUUCAGAGAAAUUGACACUGAAAUCUACAAAAAUAGCUGGGACGAGGUUGGCUAAAACCAGCUUCGUUAAUGUGAAUGACAUUUCUACAAAUUUUCAGCGACUAUAAUGACAUCAGUAGAGAAACUGACUGCUAGGGGCUGUUGUUAACUUGUAAAUUGCACGCACCUAAUGUGCUGUGUCGAACGCAAUAAUGAAAUUGACUUGUACCACUUAUUUUUUUAGAAAGGCCCGAUGACCCCCUAAAAAUGCCGCACAUGAUUUGUCCUUCAAUUCUAAACUCAACGUCCAUUGUCGUCCAUGUGGUCCCUUCAUUUGAAUUAAUACAAAAUGUAUUUGCAUUCAUGCAUGACAAUUGGUUCACAACAAUUAUAUGCAGUGUCGCAAGCGUUGAGACCAAGAUCAAGUCAAUACAUAAAUAAUUCAAUCAUUCGUCUUAAGUUGUUGUUAUUUAUCACCACAACGUCUUCUGCUUUGUUGUCGUUGGUGUCCAAAGUAAGUGCCACCAUGAUUGGUCCUAAGAUUCCACAUGCCGCACCCACCGUGGAAGCAAAUCCUGAUCCUGUACUGCGUAGCUGAGUGGGAAAUAUCUCGGCUCCUUGCAAGUAAACCACUAGGAAGUCAGGAAACUUACUUUGCAACCACAACUGAAAUAAUUUCAAUCACAGGAUUAUUCAAAAAUUGCACAAUCGCAGCAGAGGCAGCACACGCUAAAGUGCAUCCACAGAAGAAAAUGACCUGGGUCCAU